UAGAGUUCAGACCAGGCAAGAUGUUGGCAUAGCUGAGUCAAACAACUGUCAGCUGUGUCAUAUGUUGCCAAUUUUGGAC
rnacentral:pre_miRNA from 1 species